rnacentral:tRNA from 1 species
AUGUCUGAUUAAAGUAAUAAACUGUAAAUUUAUUCAAGAAUAAAAUUCUAUUAUCA